GAUGAAGAACGUAGCGAAACGCGAUAAGUAAUGUGAAUUGCAGAAUCCAGUGAAUCAUCGAAUCUUUGAACGCACAUUGCGCCCGCUAGUAUUCUGGCGGGCAUGCCUGUCCGAGCGUCAUUUCAACCCUCAAGCCCCCGGGCUUGGUGUUGGGGAUCGGCGAGCCUCCGCGCCCGCCGUCCCCUAAAUCUAGUGGCGGUCUCGCUGUAGCUUCCUCUGCGUAGUAGCACACCUCGCACUGGGAAACAGCGCGGCCACGCCGUUAAACCCCCAACUUCUGAACGUUUGACCUCGGAUCAGGUAGGAAUACCCGCUGAACUUAAGCAUAUCAAUAAGCGGAGGA
rnacentral:misc_RNA from 1 species